rnacentral:rRNA from 1 species
CGAAGGGGCUAGCGCUGCUCGGAAUUACUGGGCGUAAAGGGAGCGUAGGCGGAUAGUUCAGUCAGAGGUGAAAGCCCAGGGCUCAACCUUGGAACUGCCUUUGAUACUGGCUAUCUUGAGUUUGGGAGAGGUGUGUGGAACUCCGAGUGUAGAGGUGAAAUUCGUAGAUAUUCGGAAGAACACCAGUGGCGAAGGCGACACACUGGCCCAAUACUGACGCUGAGGCUCGAAAGCGUGGGGGAGCAAACAGGAUU